rnacentral:pre_miRNA from 1 species
GCCCAGGCAACCACAUUAUUGAGUGCAGCGUUGACGGUAAUCAAAAUUGCCCACAAAAUAUCUAUCUUAGUGGGAAAUGCUCUGUAUAUCGUUAACUCUGCACUCUGUAAUAUGUUUGCCAAUGGC